CUGAAGUGCUGCUGCAGGACGGGGUUCUCAAAGCUGUCACUCCUGUCAACAAAAUCCAGAAAUAUUCAACAGAGAUACCAAGAAAAAUGUCCCUAUUCUCAGUCCUGAAUUGCCAAGAGUAUCUUUAUAUGAAUUCAAAGAUCGCCUCAAACACUUAGGCUUCUGGACAUUGCCAAAACAUCAUUACCACUAAUAAAAAUACUAAAGAACACCUGUGAGAGACUAAAUACAUGAUGGGAAGCUAGAAACUGAAGUUUAAUGCCAUCCAAGUUUCCUGCAUCACCUUCCAAUCAUUUGAAAAGGUAAAAAUCCAUCUCACAGGGAUGUUAAAAAAAAUUAAAACUGGUGCUUAUAAAGCACUUCUAUGAUAACACUCACUAAAUGUGGGCACCAUUAUUCUUUUUCCUUGUCUUCCCCAACACGAGCUUCACCAGCUAUAAGAGGAGGGAAGACAGAAGGAAAUAAUCUACUCCUGCUUCCUAAUAAUAUUCUACUCAACUGAUAAAACUGGGGUGAUCAAUA